rnacentral:rRNA from 1 species
GUUGUUCCAAGAACACCCGAAGGCGGGCGAGCUUUCCCUGAACAGGUUGAAGAACGGAGAAUAUCCGCGUUGGAGGACUGAACCCGUGAUCGUGGUAAAGAUCUGGGAUGAUUUAGGGAAUGGAGUGAAAGGCUAAACAAGCCCGCGCAUAGCUGGUUUUUGGCGAAAAGCAUAAAGGUGCUUUGGAUUUUCGGUUAAAAAGGAGUUAGGGCAAGUCUUGGGAGCGGGGAGGUCUAAGCUCCUACUCUCCUGUGGCAACCGUCAAUGCCUUUUCAAUAAAGAAAUCUAUUUAGGCUCUGGGUGCGAAGGUCCAGAGCCGAGAGGGAAACAACCCAGAAAACCUGUUAAGGUCCUUAAACACAGACUCAGUGGAAUAGGAAAUUUUUUUGCAAAGACCCUCAGAAGAUAGGCUUGGAAGCAGCCAAUCUAGAAUGAAAGCGUAAUAGCUCACUGAGAGAGCGAAAAAAAACCAUAUAUGUGCGGGGCUUUAGUUUGUUACCGAAACAGUUU